rnacentral:tRNA from 1 species
GGGGAUGUGGAUCAAGUGGUAACAUGCUCGCCUGGCAUGCGCGGGGCGCUGGGUUCAAUCCUCAGCACCUCUU